UACGUAGGGCGCGAGCGUUGUCCGGAAUUAUUGGGCGUAAAGCGCACGUAGGCGGUUCGUCGCGUCGGCUGUGAAAACCCGGAGCUCAACUCCGGGCCUGCAGUCGAUACGGGCGGACUCGAGUUCGGCAGGGGAGACUGGAAUUCCUGGUGUAGCGGUGAAAUGCGUAGAUAUCGGGAGGAACAUCAGUUGCGAAGGCGGCUAUCUGGACGAAAACUGACACUGAGGCACGAAAGCGUGGGUAGCAAACAGG
rnacentral:rRNA from 1 species